CCUACGGGGGACAGCAGUGAGGAAUAUUGGUCAAUGGCCGGAAGGCUGAACCAGCCAAGCCGCGUGAGGGAGGAAGGCGCAGAGCGUCGCAGACCUCUUUUGCCGAGGAACAAAAGGCCGGACUCGUCCGGUCCUGAGGGUACCCGGAGAAAAAGCAUCGGCUAACUCCGUGCCAGCAGCCGCGGUAAUACGGAGGAUGCGAGCGUUAUCCGGAUUCAUUGGGUUUAAAGGGUGCGCAGGGGGGCCUUUAAGCCGGCGGUGAAAUCGCGGGGCUCAACCCUGCCUAGCCGUCGGAACUGGGGGUCUUGAGUGCAGUGGAGGUAGGCGGAAUGCGCGGUGUAGCGGUGAAAUGCAUAGAUAUCGCGCAGAACCCCGAUUGCGAAGGCAGCGUGCUGUGCCGCCACUGACGCUGAGGCACGAAAGCGCGGGGAUCGAACAGGAUUAGAUACCCUUGUAGUC
rnacentral:rRNA from 1 species